AGAGAACGCUGGCGGUAGGCCUAACACAUGCAAGUCGAACGGCAGCACAGUAAGAGCUUGCUCUUACGGGUGGCGAGUGGCGGACGGGUGAGGAAUACAUCGGAAUCUACUUUUUCGUGGGGGAUAACGUAGGGAAACUUACGCUAAUACCGCAUACGACCUACGGGUGAAAGCAGGGGAUCUUCGGACCUUGCGCGAUUGAAUGAGCCGAUGUCGGAUUAGCUAGUUGGCGGGGUAAAGGCCCACCAAGGCGACGAUCCGUAGCUGGUCUGAGAGGAUGAUCAGCCACACUGGAACUGAGACACGGUCCAGACUCCUACGGGAGGCAGCAGUGGGGAAUAUUGGACAAUGGGCGCAAGCCUGAUCCAGCCAUACCGCGUGGGUGAAGAAGGCCUUCGGGUUGUAAAGCCCUUUUGUUGGGAAAGAAAAGCAGCAGGUUAAUACCCCGCUGUUCUGACGGUACCCAAAGAAUAAGCACCGGCUAACUUCGU
rnacentral:rRNA from 1 species